GAUGAAGAACGUAGCGAAAUGCGAUACGUAAUGUGAAUUGCAGAAUUCAGUGAAUCAUCGAAUCUUUGAACGCAUAUUGCGCUCUCUGGUAUUCCGGAGAGCAUGCUUGUUUGAGUAUCAGUAAACACCUCAACUUCCAUAUCUUUUUUUGAAAUGGGAGUUGGACUUGAGUGAUCCCAACGCUUUUCCUCACCGAAAAGUGGCGGGUUACUUGAAAUGCAGGUGCAGCUGGACUUUUCUCUGAGCUAUAAGCAUAUCUAUUUAGUCUGCCUAAAAAACAGAUUAUUACCUUUGCUGCAGCUAACAUAAAGGAGAUUAGUUCUUGUGCUGACUGAUGCAGGAUUCACAAAGACAGCUUCGGCCGACUUUGUAAACUCGAUCUCAAAUCAAGUAAGACUACCCGCUGAACUUAAGCAUAUCAAUGCGGAGGA
rnacentral:misc_RNA from 1 species